rnacentral:rRNA from 1 species
GGAGACUUGGAGUGCACGUAAGGGAAGCAACGAGGAAGCCACGAGGCAGGGAGGCGCGCCCUCUCCCCCUGGGCGCGCCCCCCACUCUCGUGGGCCCCUCGUGGCUCCCCUGACCGACUUCUUUCGCCUAUAUAUAUCCAUAUACCCUAAAACCAUCGGGGAGCAGAAUAGAUCGGGAGUUCCGCCGCCGCAAGCCUCUGUAGCCACCAAAAACCAAUCGGGACCCUGUUCCGGCGUCCUGCCGGAAGGGGGAUCCCUCACCGGUGGCCAUCUUCAUCAUCCCGGCGAUCUCCAUGACGAGGAGGGAGUAGUUCACCCUCGGGGCUGAGGGGGAUAUGACUACUGGGUAUGACCCGCCCAGGAGGGGCCGGGUCAUGCCACUUGCGGCUUAUAAUGAAGAUGCCCAAGAAUAUAUGAAGAUGGCGGUUCAUAGAGCGAGCUUAUUGAAGGCCUAAGACCCGGAGACGAUUUGAGGCCCACGGGUGUGAGCCGCCAUAUGUUUAACUUGUAUUGUAAGGCAAGC